UGUAGCUCAGUGAUAGAGUACUUGCCUAGCAUGCAAAAGGCCCUGGGUUUGAUUCCUAGCA
rnacentral:tRNA from 1 species